GAUGAACGCUGGCGGCGUGCCUAAUACAUGCCAGUCGAGCGAACAGACGAGGAGCUUGCUCCUCUGACGUUAGCGGCGGACGGGUGAGUAACACGUGGAUAACCUACCUAUAAGACUGGGAUAACUUCGGGAAACCGGAGCUAAUACCGGAUAAUAUAUUGAACCGCAUGGUUCAAUAGUGAAAGACGGUUUUGCUGUCACUUAUAGAUGGAUCCGCGCCGCAUUAGCUAGUUGGUAAGGUAACGGCUUACCAAGGCAACGAUGCGUAGCCGACCUGAGAGGGUGAUCGGCCACACUGGAACUGAGACACGGUCCAGACUCCUACGGGAGGCAGCAGUAGGGAAUCUUCCGCAAUGGGCGAAAGCCUGACGGAGCAACGCUGCGUGAGUGAUGAAGGUCUUCGGAUCGUAAAACUCUGUUAUUAGGGAAGAACAAAUGUGUAAGUAACUAUGCACGUCUUGACGGUACCUAAUCAGAAAGCCACGGCUAACUACGCG
rnacentral:rRNA from 1 species